GGAAUAUUGCGCAAUGGGCGAAAGCCUGACGCAGCAACGCCGCGUGGGUGAAGAAGGCUCUCGGGUCGUAAAGCCCUGUCAAGGGGGACGAGAAAGGACGGUACCCCUGAAGGAAGCACCGGCUAACUCCGUGCCAGCAGCCGCGGUAAUACGGAGGGUGCAAACGUUGUUCGGAAUCAUUGGGCGUAAAGCGCGCGUAGGCGGCCUGUCAGGUCGGGUGUGAAAUCCCGGGGCUCAACCCCGGAAUUGCGCUCGAAACCGGCAGGCUUGAGUUCCGGAGGGAGAGGUGGAAUUCAUGGUGUAGGGGUGAAAUCCGUAGAUAUCAUGAGGAACACCGGUGGCGAAGGCGACCUCUUGGCCGAGGACUGACGCUGAGGUGCGAAAGCGUGGGUAGCAAACAGGAUUAGAUACCCUUGUAGUCC
rnacentral:rRNA from 1 species